AGCUUUGCGCAGUGGCAGUAUCAUAGUCAAUGAGGUUUAACCGAGGCGCGAUUAUUGCUAAUUGAAAACUUUUCCCAAUGCCCUGCCAUGACGACUUGAAAUAUAGUCGGCAUUGACAAUUUUUGGCAGUCUCUACGGAGA
ensembl:snRNA U4 U4 spliceosomal RNA